rnacentral:rRNA from 1 species
CAGCAGUGGGGAAUAUUGCACAAUGGGCGCAAGCCUGAUGCAGCCAUGCCGCGUGUGUGAAGAAGGCCUUUCGGGUUGUAAAGCACUUUCAGCGAGGAGGAAGGUGGUGAGCUUAAUACGCUCAUCAAUUGACGUUACUCGCAGAAGAAGCACCGGCUAACUCCGUGCCAGCAGCCGCGGUAAUACGGAGGGUGCAAGCGUUAAUCGGAAUUACUGGGCGUAAAGCGCACGCAGGCGGUUUGUUAAGUCAGAUGUGAAAUCCCCGGGCUCAACCUGGGAACUGCAUUUGAAACUGGCAAGCUAGAGUCUCGUAGAGGGGGGUAGAAUUCCAGGUGUAGCGGUGAAAUGCGUAGAGAUCUGGAGGAAUACCGGUGGCGGAAGGCGGCCCCCUGGACGAAGACUGACGCUCAGGUGCGAAAGCGUGGGGAGCAAACAGGAUUAGAU